rfam:Nippostrongylus brasiliensis genome assembly, scaffold: NBR_scaffold0000208
UAUCUCUGGCUCCUCUGCAUUUAACCGAGAAAAUCUUUCGCCUUUUACUAAAGAUUUCCGUGCAGAGGUGCAAUUAUGAGUAUACAAUAAUUUUUGCAAUCCCCUCGAAAGAGCGGGAU